rnacentral:rRNA from 1 species
GAUGAACGCUAGCGGCAGGCUUAAUACAUGCAAGUCGAGGGGCAGCAUGACUGUAGCAAUACAGUUGAUGGCGACCGGCAAACGGGUGCGGAACAUGUACAGAACCUUCCUUCGAGCGGGGAAUAGCCCAGAGAAAUUUGGAUUAAUACCCCAUAGUAUAGCGGAGGGGCAUCACUCUGUUAUUAAAGAUUUAUCACUUGAAGAUGGCUGUGCGGCUGAUUAGGUAGUUGGCGGGGUAACGGCCCACCAAGCCUGCGAUCAGUAACUGGUGUGAGAGCACGACCAGUCACACGGGCACUGAGACACGGGCCCGACUCCUACGGGAGGCAGCAGUAAGGAAUAUUGGUCAAUGGACGAAAGUCUGAACCAGCCAUGCCGCGUGGAGGAUGAAGGUCCUCUGGAUUGUAAACUUCUUUUAUAUGGGACGAAAAAAGGCUUUUCUAAGUCGUCUGACGGUACCAUAUGAAUAAGCACCGGCUAACUCCGUGCCAGCAGCCGCAGUAACAC